CCCUAAUCCUAAUCUUCCUGAUCACCGGAAGCAACUACCCAAAUUUCUGUUGGACAAAUCCGAAUUGGGGUUUGGUAAGCUCGAUGAUGCUCUUAGUUUAUUCCAUCGGAUGGUCCAAAUGCAACCCCUUCCUUCGGUUAUCCAAUUCACUCAGCUGUUAACGGGUAUUACCAGAAUGAAGCAUUAUUCCACCGUUAUUUCUCUGUUUAAAGAAAUACGCUUGUUGGGUAUUACGGUUAAUGAUUAUACCUGAAUGUCGUAAUAAAUUGCCUUUGCCACUUGAAUCGACUAGAUUAUGGGUUUUCUGUCUUGAGUAGCUUCUUCAAACUUGGUUAUGUACCAUGUGUAUCUACUUUCACCACUCUAAUGAAUGGGUUCAUUUUACCAGACAAGACUGGUAAGGCCAUGGAAUUGUUUAAUAAAUUGGUAAGAGAGGGAGAAAUCAAACCUGAUAGAGUUAUGUACGGAACUAUUAUAAAUGGGCUUUCCAAGACAGGAAAUACUACAACUGCCAUAGGGAUUCUUAGGAGUAUGCGAAAAUGGAACUAUAAGCCUGAUGUUGUGAUGUAUAACAUAAUUAUUGAUGGUCUUUGCAAGGACAAAAAUGUAGAUGAUGCUUUGAGCCUCUUAGUGGAAAUGAACCAGCAGGAUGUUACACCAGACUUGAUCACUUACAACACGUUGAUUCACGGAUUAUGUAAUUUGGGCCGGUGGGAGGAAGCAACAAGAAUGUUGAGAGACAUGACAGGCAAGAAUGUUUUUCCAGAUGUUCUUACAUUUAAUACAUUGAUAAAUGCAUUCUGCAAGGAAGGGAUGGCAAAAGAAGCAGAGAAUGUUCUUGAAUUCAUGGUCCAAAGAGGUGUUGGUCCCAAUGUAGUCACAUACAAUACACUCAUGGAUGGUUAUUGCUUGCUAGGUCACAUGGACAGAGCAAUAGAAGUCUUUCAUUCCAUGGUGGAUAAGGGCAUUGAACCGAACAUUCUUUGCUAUAACAUUUUGAUCAAUGGAUAUUGCAAAAAUAUGAAAAUUGAAGAGGCCAUGAAUGUUUUCCGUGAAAUGCCUCGUAAAGGAUUGAAACCGACAAUUGAUACUUACAAUACUAUGUUGCAGGGAUUGUUUGGGGUUGGUAGGUGUUCUACUGCUCAAGGACUUCUGAAUGAGAUGCAAGCUAAUGGUCAGUCUCCAGAUUAUUAUACUUAUUGUGUCCUACUGGAUGGAUUAUCCAAGAAUGGCCAUAUUGAUGAAGCAUUGUUGUUAUUUCAAGAGCUGGAAUGCAGUGGCGUAAAUCCUGGUAUUACUAUGCACAAUAUAUUAAUUGAUAGAUUGUGCAAAGAUGGGAAGCUUGAGAUGGCAAGGAAUCUAUUUGGUAAGCUUGACUCUAAAGGUUUGCGGCCUGAUGUUCGCACUUUUACUAUGAUGAUAGGUGGAUUUUGUGAACAGGGGCUAUUGGGUGAGGCAAAUGAUUUACUUGUGACGAUGGAAGGGACGGGUUGUAUGCCUAAUUAUGCAACUUACAAUGUUAUGGUCCGUGGAUUCCUUAAAGCAAAUGACUACACUGAAGCAAAUAUACUUGCGGAGAAAAUGAUUGGGAGGGGCUUUUCAGCAGAUGCAUCUACUUUGGUUACAGUAGUGGAUCUACUCUCUGCUAAAGGUCAAGAUCCUACUCUCUUUCAUAUGAUUAAAAAAUUGGUUCCCCGGGAAAACACUAUAGGAAUUUGUUAAGCUAUCAACACGGAUGCUAUCUUUGGUAGUCAUAUGUCUGCUCAGAAUUUGCUAGUUGAUGCUUGGUUGAUUGCUUGCAAAUGAUGCUAUUUACAAUGUUAUUGUCCACUGCCAAGGACAAAACUGAGGUAGAAGAUGCUAUAUAAUCAUUCUUAUGCGCAAUGAAUUGGGGAUUGAGAUCAUUUUGGCAGGAUUCAAAAGUCAAUUUGGGUACUUCUGUUGAUUCAUAUGCAAACAUGGAAGAAAUUCUAAGAUGUAAUAGAUUCUCAACAAAGUUUGAAUUCAUCUACCGCCAGACCUGCAGUUUUACAAAGGUUGAAGGUUACUUGGAAAUCAUUGCGUUAAUGGUUACAGAGACAAGUAAGUACUAUUAGAAGGUGAUAGUAUUCAGUAUUUAGCAACACAAAAUUUUGUGCAUAAUGUGCUUCUUACCUUUGCCAUACUUCUGUUUAAUUGUUUGUGAAACAGAAUUUAAAGGCAACUGAUGCCAUAUACCAUAUCAGAAAUGCAAGUUGUACUGCCAUUUGUAGAUUGCAUUGUUUUUUUUUUUUUUGAUAUUUGGGUGUCUGGGCCACAUUUGUAGAUUGCAAUAUUAUAAAUUUUAAAAUGCUCUUUCUGUU